GGCAGGAAUGUGAGAAGAGUGAGCAGCAAGUACCAGAGGGGAGAUGAAUGAGGAGCUGGGAGAAAGGCAGAGCCCAACCAGGAAGGAGAAUUCAAAAAGAAGUAUGAGAGAGAGAAGACAUGAUAUUGACAGUAACAACCAGGAGCAAGCUGAGAAGUCAGCAAGGCUUGGCUCCAAGGAAGAGGAGAGAUGAGACCUGAUGCGGGAGUGUCUCAUGCCGCCUCCACCUCUCUUCUCAUUCCUGUACUCUCCUGGACAGGACGGAGUAUGCUCUUUUCCCUCUUCCUUUCUGGUAAGAACGCAUCCCUCAGAGUAUCUUUUUCCUUGCUAGCGUGGACACCUGGCCUGCCCGUUUCCUGGGGUCCUGAUGGUUGUGUCAAGUGUGCCCUCAGAGAAGCAGACACUGAGGCAGAACGAAGAAUGCAAGAGGCUUUUUGGGGAGUAACAUCUGUGAAGAUAAAAGAGGGAGAGAGCAGGACUGGACAGGGAGAGCCUCAGACCGUAGUGCAGAUCUCAGAAAGUUUUGGCCAACCAAGAGGGGAAUUCCAGAACAAAGACUGCUCAUCAGAGGAGUCCCAUGUUGAA
rnacentral:lncRNA from 1 species